rnacentral:rRNA from 1 species
GACGAGGGAUCCUAGCGUUGUUCGGAAUUAUUGGGCGUAAAGGGUGCGCAGGCGGCCGGGUGUGUCAGAUGUGAAAUCCCGAGGCUCAACCUCGGAACUGCGUCUGAAACUACUCGGCUAGAGUACUGGAGAGGGUAACGGAAUUCACGGUGUAGCAGUGAAAUGCGUAGAUAUCGUGAGGAACACCAGAGGCGAAGGCGGUUACCUGGACAGUUACUGACGCUCAGGCACGAAAGCGUGGGGAGCAAACAGGAUUAGAAACCCCUGUAGU